GUAAUUGGAAGCACUUGACCACAAGUGGAAAACAUUUAACCGUACACUGCACAAUUCCAUGCAAACUAUCACGUUCACUCCGGUACAAUCGGUUAAUAUUAUUAAUGUGACGUAAUUUACAUUUUUGACACCUAUCGCUUUCAAGGAUGGGGUAGGGAUAAACUCAUCAUAGAUACUAGAAUUAAAUUUUAUAUUUACGCCAGACGCGCGCUUCGUCUAAAAAAGACUCAUCUGUGACGCUCGAAUCCAAAAAUAUAUUGAUAGUCUUUGACCUGUCAAACAUUUUCGUUUCCGAAUACUUACUCCAGUAUGUUAUAACAUUAGAUUACAACUUUAAUAGAUAUUACGAGGCGAAGAUCUCAUAUUGAUUGAGAGGUUAACCCAUUACAAGGUCAAUGCCAUACUAAGUCAAAAAUAAAUAGUGCAGCCAGAAUAGUUGCUUCCAGAUGCUAAAUCAAACACUGCAUAUUUAAUUGAAGCCAUAUUUGUAUAUAUGGUUAAAUGAAAAAAAAAAAAGAAGAUGCUAAUUGAUUUGGAGGUCAUACCCAAAAUGUCAAGGUCUAAGUAACUUUAAAAUGUCCCAAAUAAUGAAAAGUGGUUUCCGCAUACUUAAUCAAAUACUCAUUUGCGAUUGAAAUAUUAGUGGAUGUAUGGUUAUUCAUAAUGAGAAAAAAAAUCCCUUUUGAAUUUGGUGUCCCUAUAUCGAAAGUCAAGGUUAUCGCUCUUACAAAUAGGUUUAUUUAGGACACCUUUGGUGUCUAUAGCAUUACAUGUAAAAUUCAUACUUUAAGAAAAAAUUUGCCAUCAGGUCAGUGAAUGUGUUUCCCGCAGAUGACUUGGAAAAGGGGAUCCUUGAUUUAUGUAGUUGGUACAACAGUC
rnacentral:lncRNA from 1 species